rnacentral:sRNA from 1 species
CUUUAGCCCUGAUAGAAGUGGAAAUCCUUUUUAUUUUUAAAGAAAAAAUAAAAAGAUUGAAACGGAUAGCAGGAAUCCAU